UACGUAGGGUGCAAGCGUUGUCCGGAAUUAUUGGGCGUAAAGGAGCUCGUGAGGCGGUCUGUCGCGUCGGAUGUGAAAAUCCAGGGCUCAACCCUGGACCUGCAUUCGAUACGGGCAGACUAGAGUUCGGUAGGGGAGACUGGAAUUCCUGGUGUAGCGGUGAAAUGCGUAGAUAUCUGGAGGAAUACCGGUGGCGAAGGCGGCAUCCUGGACCAUUACGUGACGCUGAGGCGCGAAAGCUAGGGGAGCAAACGGG
rnacentral:rRNA from 1 species